GAAGGUGGCUCUCACUGUCCCCUUCAUCGGCCAAUUGCUCCCGAUUCCUUAAACUAUCCCCUUUAGGACACAGUUUUAGAUCUCUGACCAGCCUGGAAUCUCUUCCAGAAGAUUUGCACUACAACUUGUAUUUCUUUUAAAGGUGAAUCCCAGAAGGUAAUGUAGUUUUACAGGCUCCUUCUGUACUGUGCAGUACACUGAGAGACUCAUUCCUUUGCAGGUUUUAAAUGAAUGUCUAAGGUCACAUGCAUUUAGGGAAUAACAGACUUGGGCUUUAGCUCCUCUUUGGCUUUGUCACUGACAAAACAGCUCACAUAAACUGGAGGGCAGAUUUUUCAGGGGAAGAUGAAUUCCCAGCUUGCCCUGCUAAAGGCACAAUUUGGGAGAAAUCUUCCAAGCCAAGUGUACAGAAAGGCCAGCCUCUUCCAGAUAAGUGAGGUGUCCAGGUUCAGGGAUUAGGGGUGCUGUGGAAGGUUUCACACCCAGGGAAGGAGGGUGGUAGGCAUCCAUAAAGAACCCAUAGGGUGCCAUAUUUAGGGCCUGCUCUGAGUACCAGGCUCCACACUGAUAAAACAUUUGCUAACCUGCUUUUGCCGCUUUCAGUCUUGCUUCCUGUUUCCAGGCUUUGUUGGGGGCAGUGAGAGUUUAGCUUGCUCACAUCUCUGUCUUAGCUAUGCACCGUGUGUGGGGGACAGGCCAAACGGCCAUGCUUACUCCGCGUCUAGUGGGCUGGACAACCCGUCCCUCUGGGCAGCUCUUCACUAACUCACAGACUGCUCCUCCCCAUCUCCGUUCCCUCCGGAACACAAGUCAUCGAAGGCCGUCACACUAGGCAGGCCACCGCUGAGCCUGUGUGUGCAGGAGGCUCCCUGCCCCCGGGGGGCCUCAGCCUGGGCUGGGCCACACCAAGAACCUGGGGCCCCCAGCACUGUCUGAGCAGCUCUCUCUGGCCGCUCCGGACCAGAAACAUCAGGAAAAUUAGCAAUUGGGCCCCAGAAGGUUAAAAUCCGGAAGGAGGCCUGUGCACACAGCCACGCAUCUCAGUUUCUCUCAGUUUCCCGUUACAGCCUUGGAGCUCAGCGAGCGAGCUAAGUCAAGAAGCAAACACCCGUUUAAAGGGCGAGAGGAAGAGCCUGCGGAGGAAGGCGGCUCCUCAUUGGCCGGAGGGGAGCAUGUGACCCUGCGUGCCCGCACUUUCUGCCAGCCCGCGCUCAGGAUGAACAAUACCAUUCUUGAAGAAGACCAAACCCAGAAGCCACUGCGCAGGUUUGUUAGGAGGAGCCAAGCUAAUCAGAAGUAGCCAAGCUGCAAUGG
rnacentral:lncRNA from 1 species